rnacentral:rRNA from 1 species
AAGUCAGAUGUGAAAGCCUUCUGUUCAACGGAAGAAUUGCAUCUGAAACUGCGAGUCUUGAGUGUAGGAGGGGAGAAUGGAACUUCUGGUGGAGCGGUGAAAUGCGUAGAUAUCAGAAGGAACGCCGGCGGCGAAAGCGAUUCUCUGGCCUAUUACUGACACUCAGUGUGCGAAAGCUAGGGGAGCAAACGGGAUUAGAUACCUCGGUAGUCCUAGCCGUAAGCGAUGGGCACUAAGUAGAGGGAAUUACCGAUAUUCUCUCUGCCGUAGCUAACGCAUUAAGUGCCCCGCCUGGGGAGUACGGCCGCAAGGCUAAAACUCAAAAGAAUUGACGGGGGCUCGCACAAGCGGUGGAGCAUGUGGCUUAAUUCGAUGCAACGCGAAAAACCUUACCGGGGCUUGACAUGAUAGAAGUAGGAACCCGAAAGGGUAACGAACGGUAUCCAGUCCGUAGCUAUUACAGGUGUUGCAUGGCUGUCGUCAGCUCGUGUCGUGAGACGUUGGGUUAAGUCCCCUAACGAGCGAAACCCUUGUUUUUAGUUGCCAGCGGGUUGUGCCGGGCACUCUAGAAAGACUGCCGUCGUCAAGACGGAGGAAGGUGGGGAUGACGUCAAGUCAUCAUGGCCCUUAUGCCCCGGGCUGCACACGUGCUACAAUGGUCGGUACAAACGGAAGCCAAG